rnacentral:rRNA from 1 species
UACGGGGGGGGCAAGCGUUGUUCGGAAUUACUGGGCGUAAAGGGCUCGUAGGGGGCCAACUAAGUCAUGCGUGAAAUCCCUCGGCUUAACCGGGGAACUGCGUCUGAUACUGGAUGGCUUGAGUUUGGGAGAGGGAUGCGGAAUUCCAGGUGUAGCGGUGAAAUGCGUAGAUAUCUGGAGGAACACCGGUGGCGAAGGCGGCAUCCUGGACCAACACUGACGCUGAGGAGCGAAAGCCAGGGGAGCAAACGGG